GGAAAUAUGCUGAAUAUCCCUACAGUACACGCAUUUUUUCAUAGUGUUUUUAUUACAAUACCUUUGUUAUUACUGUAAAAGUGUAUAUUUGUAGUAAUGUGAUGUAAAUACUGUUAAAUAGUGUCAACUGAUAUAUUAUCUGCAUGACAUUUUUUUAAAGACAUCAGAAGUAAGAAGUGCAAAGAGGGAGAGAAGAGGGUGGAGAGAGAGAUCACAGAGAGAGAGAUAGAGAGAGAGCUUCCAUACGCAGGUUCAGGAACAAUGGACCCAGAGCGGAUAUCCUCCAUAUGGACAGACAAGAGUCAUACAAAGUGGAUGGACAUAAUUUUCUGAAGCCCAGGGGUGACUGUAAAGUCAGACAGGUGGGAUGUAAACUGAUAUUAGACCCCCUUUAACUGCUCUCAACAGUUUCUUAUCACUUGGUGUUUAGCGUGGGUGAAUAAACACAAUCAAGGACAUGUGUGUAGGUUUCGCAUCUAUAGUUUAAGGGGAAAACUGUGGUGCUUGUUUAAUUGUUUUUAAGUCUUAAAGUUUUUUAAGCCUAAUUGCUUUUAUUGGCAGCUGGAAAGUUUUCGAGUAGUUUCUCAAACAGUUUAGUGGCCCAAACUCUCUUCAGAUAAAAAAAAGUACACUAAACUGUGACCUGAUUACAGACCUUAAUAGAUUUGAAUAGAGUUAAUAGAUAACUUUUAAAAGGUCGCUGUUUUUUAUUUUACACAAAGUUUUUUUUCUACAUCUCAAACACUUUGGGGUGGUUUCCAGGAAAGGGUUUAGAUUAAUCCAAGACUAGGCCUUAGUUAUAUUAGGACCUUUAAGUCGUUUUUACAAACAAACCUUGCAAAAAACAAUACUGGUGUGCAUACUGAAACAAAAUAAUGGCACUGAUUUAUGUUAUGAUAUGUCAGUACAAGGUGUUUUUAAAAUAAGGCAGCUCAAACAUUCAUUUUGUUCUGGAUAAUAAUCCCUGUCCGGGAAACCGCUCCUUUGUUGUUUAGAGCAGGGUUUUCAAACUUGUGUUCCCCAAAAGUCUCUAAGGAGUCCCCAGAAAGUUUCAAGAGAUAACAGACAAAGCAAAAAUUGUAAGGUUCUCUUUGCAGUCAAUUAUUUAAGCUUGUAAACAACUUGCAUAAUAUGACCUUAUUGCUUUAUGUCUUUAUAUUUUCCCAUUUACCAUAGAGGGUUCCAUCGGAUGCACGUGCGGUGAUGCGAUUACGCGUCUGGUCGGAACUUUACUUCUGGUUUCUGUUUGUUUAAUAGUCUGAGUAGUUGUCAAAAUAAACUCUUUAAAAAAUACCUCGUCAAAAAUAACAAAUGUUUUGGUUUUCUAGGUAGUCUAUGUGUUGUUUAUUUUGCUUGUUAUAAAAUAAACUACUUUAAAAGGACUUUGUUGUUAUACUUAGCGGAGUUUAUCGGUAGUUACGUUUGUUCCAUGAAAGCAGUUUGUUUAUGUUGUUACUGCUGAAACUAUAUAUCCAACACAGUUCAAAUGUUUCUUUAUACAAAAAUGAAUAUAUAUUUUAGGACAGGGGUCCCUGACUAAAGGUUUAUAAUAUGUGGGGGUCCCUGCCAUCAAAAAGUUUAAAACCCCUUGGGUUAGAGAAUCCACGAAUGCUUUUUUGGCACCCAAUUUAUGUUUUCCAUAACAUUUUUUAAUUAGCUUUCUCUGCAUUUUACAAAGUCAAAAAAUAUUAUCUGACUGCCCAGAAGUAAUUUUAUUGCCUUUCUGCUUUGUAACCAUAGCAGUGGGGCAAUAAUUGAAAUACACAGUGUGUGUAAACAGUACUUUUCAUUUAUAGCUUUAAAAGUGAGGCUGUUUUUAUCAUUUUUACAACUUCACAUAAAAAUUGAGGACCAUUAACAUUUCAUUUUAUCAAAUGUUAGACUUUAUCUUUAAAAUUGACAUUGUUAAACUACACAGCCAUUUCAUAUAGGGAUUUACAGCCCUACAUAAAAUAAUGCAUAUGACAAUUUACAUAACAUAACAAUAUAUAGUUAACGUAACACUCUGGAGAUGAGAUAUUUCCAAAGCCGUCAGAAACCAAGAAUGCUUUUAAAAGGGCCAGGAGAUUUUUCAUCAUCUCUAAUUGUUGCAUUUGUUGGAAGUGAGCUUGAAGAGGCAAAACCGUUGUGUUGAAAUAACCUUUGACAUUUUCUCCCAUGCACUUGCCAGGUUGUGGGGUUCACACUAGGACAUCUGCUCAUAAAUGCAUUUUGACGAAUGAAUGCACUGAUCCGAGAUCAGUUUGUGCUAAAAGUAUAUGCACACAUACACACAUUUAUUUUUUAGAAGACCCUUGAUUGGGAAAUUGUGCUGUUUCGUAUGUACAGUAGGGCCCAGUGAACGUCAAAACUGUUGUGUAACUAACCUACUUAGCAACCCGGGAGACCCCUGAGAUAACAGGAGUCAUCUCUGUCAGCAACAGAGUUGGGGGAUCCACCCCCAACUCAAGGCCAAUUACAACUAGCUAUUUAUUUAAUGCCAACAAACCAAAGCUUCCACCCUGAGCACUUGAGCAACCCCAUGCUUGCAUCAUCCCUGCGCUGUGUGUAAUUUUAUUUUAACAGUCACUUAGAUUACAUAUCUACAGCGCAACGGUUCAGUAGCAUAAUAAUAUCUUAAAUUGGCAUUGCACAACUAUGUAACCAUGAACUUAGACAAGUGCCCAAGUAGAGAACAAAUACACAGCUAAACUUUGGCAUAACAUGCUGCACAGCACAAUUGUAUGUGGGUAAAUCCUAAAAUUGUGGUUGAAUUAGGUGGUUAUUGCUGCAGAAACUGUUAAACAGUUUUUCUGAUUCUUAUUUAGAACAAAGACUAAUGGUUGUUGUUUCUAUCCGAAUGCUAUGUUAACCGUGUGUUGAAAGUAUAUGUUCAGGGCGAAAACCCUGAUGGGCAACUGCAACAGUUUCUCUGACUUCUUUAUUAUUUAAUUUUUAUUAAGCUAAAAUAAUUUUAUUGGUCUCAUGGGCAGCCUGCAAAAUUCUGAUAAAAUCUGAUUUUAGGUCAGUAAUUCUGAACGGGCUUCAUUGGCAUAAGCGCAAAGGGCUUAUUAGGUAGACGACACUGCCCUCUUCUGGCAAUGAGGGAUCCGUGGAAUCUUCUUUUACUAAAGUAAAAACCUACAAAAAGCAAUGAUUGAUGAAAAAAGGAAACUAGUUAAAGUUGGACAUUGUUUAAAGGGGACAUGUCACGAAAAUCUGACUUUUUCUAUAAUUGUGUCCCCAUUGCUUGUAUCAGUAUAGAAAAUGUGAUAAAGAACAACCCAAUAACUUGGUUUUGGUAAACUUUCUCUGAAAGCAUGUAGAAAAUAGAUAAUUUAAAUGUGGCUCCCCUUGUGAUGUCAGUAGGGGAUAAUAUCGGCCCUUAAUCUGCACUAUCCAACCACGGCACUGCCAUUUAGUGCAGAGAUCAGCUCAUUUGCAUUUAAAAGGACAAACCCAAAAUGGCACAUUUUUGCUCACACCUACAAAGUGUUAAUUUUAACAUGCUAUAAUAAAUUAUCUAUAUUGUAUUUUGAACUUAACAUAUGUACUCUGGGGACACCAAAGAUUUAUUUAACAUUUUAAGUCUUUUCUUGGAAACGUGUUUUAUGAAGCAUUUAUGGUACUUUGUAUCCUAUUUAUUGUCCAUUUAAUGUAAAUCAGUGCAAAAGAACAACAGGGUGAUUAUUUAACAUUUCUUUUUGUAUUUUACAGAAGAAGAAACGUCUUACAGGCAAGACAAAAGGGUGCGUUAAUUAAACAAAAUGACAAUUUUUGGAAAACUACUCUGUUAAUACAUUUAAAAAAAAUCCAAAUCAAAUGGUAUGCUUGCAAUACAAUUUAAUUUUAAGAAAAUUUGAAUGAAGACGUGCUUGCGACAGUAUAUUUAAUAAAUGUGUAAAAAAUUAAAGAAUUUAUCGUAAAAACAAGUUUUAAUUGUACAUUUGUGAACUGUGUUGCGGUGCAGUAGCGCCCUCUACAGAAAUGCAUUGUACACUUCACUCUGCAGGGACUACUGUUGUUAAAACAGAAAGGCCUAUGUGCUUCUAUCAACUUGGAAAAUGUGACAAAUAACAACCCAGAAACUUAGUUUUGGUAAACUAUUCUUUGUAAGCAUGUGAAAAAAAAAUAUUUAAUUGAAAUUUGUCUCAGAUGGGGAUAAUACUGCUCCUUAAUCUGCCCUAUCCAAGCACGACACUGCCAUCUAGUGCAGAGAUAAACUCAUUUGCAUUUCUUGAAUUGUUUGCAAGGACACACUCAAAAACAGCACAUUUUUUAUUACACCUACAAAGUGGCAAUUUUAACAUGCUAUAAUAAAUUAUCUAUAUGGUAUUUUGAGCUAAAAAUAUUCACAUAUGUACUCUGGGGACACCAAAGUUUUAUUUGACAUAUUAAAAAAGUCUUAGAACAAAUCAGAAUAGAGAAGAGAACCAAUGUCAUAUGGGCAAUUUUAGGAUAUUUUAUGGAAUUGUUUGUGUUUCUGCUUUAUAAAUUAACUGAAUCUGAUUUAAAAGUAAAAAGGAUAAGAAAAAGGAAAAUAAUCCUUUAUCAGGAUUGCACAUGCAGAACACAUUCUUCCAUCAGCAGUGAACCUGCCCCAUCAUGCUCCACUGUACUUAUGAAGUAAGACAAAAUGUAGGAAAUUAUAGGUGCUCUCAUUUCCUGCAACUUUCAGUGCAAAAGUGUUUUUAAAAGAAUUAGGCUUUAAAUAAAUAACAACUGAAAUAAU